AUGGUCGAAUCCGGCCCCCUGUGCACCGAGCACGUCUCCGACCUCUCCGAGCCAAACAGUGGAAUGGAAGACCCGACCCGGGGCCGGGGAAAGGGGCCAGGGCCGGAGGCGGAGCCGAGACACGCUGCGAUCCGCUGGGGCCGCGCCUGGCGCUUCAGCCCUGGCUCUGCCCACCGGCUCGAGCGCUCGUCCCGGCGGCGUCUGGGCCUCGGCGCCGCGUCUCUGGUCUUUCUGCAGGAUUGGGAUCCCUCUUGGCUGGGCCGGCCGAACUCCGCUCGGCGCGAAAGGAGGCUGAGCCAGGGGCAGCGACGGGAUGGCGAGGACGGAUGUCCCGGGCGCAGCCUCUCCGGGUUUUCGCGGUGCCCGGGCCGGAGCUCCCUGGUUGCCAGACCCGGGACCUGGAAAACUGGCUCUGCUAAGCCCCAGAUCCGGCGGGGCUUCCCGAGCGGGCAGCAGAGGGGGCCGGAGGCCGCUGGGGCCCCAUCCCCGAGAAGCUGGCACAGCGCGGGGAGCUCGGGGGCCCGCCGGGAAAGGCGGCUUGGGGCGCGAGGGGUGGAGGCGGCCCGGGUGCCCUCGCCCCCUGAAGGAUGCCAGCUUUCUCCGGGGGACGGGGCCUGUAUCCGCGGGGGCAGCACCACCAGGGGCCCGGAAAGCGCGGGGGUCGGCCCGGACGAGGGCAGAGCAGGCUGCGGGUGCCGGGCCCCGCCGCCGCCACAAAGGCGCACCCGGCUCAACGCUGGCCGGUCUUGGGUUUUAAGACAAAGCGGAGUAAUUUCGUCAGUCGGGCCGCGUGCAGGGAGCACACAAAGGGCCUCGGCUCCGGCGGCCCGGGGCGGCCGUGGACGGCAGCGCGGGCCAGGGCGGGCUCUGCGGGAACAGGGGUUUGGGUUGCGAGGAGCCCCCCCGCCGCCGCCGCCGCCGCUUUUCCGCCCAGUCAGUACAAAACACACACAUACACACACUGCGUCAACGCAGUUUUUGGCCACGGAUCCCGCCGGGUAA
rnacentral:lncRNA from 12 species